GCUGGGCGCAGUGGCGUGUGCCUGUAGUCCCAGCUACUCAGGAGGCUGAGGUGGGAGGAUCACUUGAGCCCAGGAGUUCUGGGCUGUAGUGCACUAUGCAGAUCAGGUGUCUGCACUAAGUUCAGCAUCAAUAUGGUGACCUCCUGAGAGCAGGGAACCACCAGGUUGCCUAAGGAGGGGUGAACCUACCAAGGUUGGAAACAGAGCAGGUCAAAACUCCUGUGAGGAUCAGUAGUGGGAUCGCACCUGUGAAUAGCCAUUGUACUCCAGUCUGGGCAACAUAUCGAGACCCCAUCUCU
rnacentral:SRP_RNA from 1 species